rnacentral:rRNA from 1 species
AGUGAACGCUGGCGGUAGGCCUAACACAUGCAAGUCGAACGGCAGCACAGUAAGAGCUUGCUCUUACGGGUGGCGAGUGGCGGACGGGUGAGGAAUACAUCGGAAUCUACUUUUUCGUGGGGGAUAACGUAGGGAAACUUACGCUAAUACCGCAUACGACCCACGGGUGAAAGCAGGGGAUCUUCGGACCUUGCGCGAUUGAAUGCGCCGAUGUCGGAUUAGCUAGUUGGCGGGGUAAAGGCCCACCAAGGCGACGAUCCGUAGCUGGUCUGAGAGGAUGAUCAGCCACACUGGAACUGAGACACGGUCCAGACUCCUACGGGAGGCAGCAGUGGGGAAUAUUGGACAAUGGGCGCAAGCCUGAUCCAGCCAUACCGCGUGGGUGAAGAAGGCCUUCGGGUUGUAAAGCCCUUUUGUUGGGAAAGAAAAGCAGCAGGUUAAUACCCCGCUGUUCUGACGGUACCCAAAGAAUAAGCACCGGCUAACUUCGUG